rnacentral:lncRNA from 1 species
UGAACUCCUUUUCUGUUUAAUCCUCAGGGUCAGAGUGAGCAGUUACAAAUAAGAACUUUGACUAUAAUGUUAUAAAACUGGAAGACAUAAACCUGGGAAUUUCAGGGGCUCUGGCCUGAAGAUAGGCCAUUUGGAAACAAAGUUACAUAGAAGAAAGCAUGGCUAAGAGAUCAAGCGUUAGAGACAGAGUGAAAUUUGAUGAAUACUGGAUCCAGCCUUGCCUGAGCUAAUAUGAAUAGAUAUACUCAUCUUUUCUGAAAAGACUUUCUUCAUCCACAAAUGGCUUUGAUGCUAAUACCUUUAUUUAUGCCUGAUGGGAAUAGAUGAGAUCACUCAGGAAGAAUAUGUCAUGUGAAAACAGAAGAACUGGUUUGUACCGGACACAGAGGAAACAGUGCCUGCCAGGGAGAAGGGAGAGGAGUGCUAGAGAGGGAGGAGAAAGCCAGGAGAAAGGCCAAGGGGUAACUGUUUCUACAUGCAGAGCGUGAUAUUGUUUUAAAAAGUUCUAAGCCAAAAAGCCACCUCAAUUAUUACAAAGAAAGAAAUACCUUAGAAUAAGUAACCAGAAUAUUGUCUUGAAAACCAGAAAUAUUGAGCAAGAAAAGACUACGU